GCGGUCGUAGUCUAGUGGUAUGAUACGACCUUGCCAAGGUCGAGACCCGGGUCCGAUUCCCGGCGACCGCA
rnacentral:tRNA from 1 species